UGGUCAUUAAAAUAAAGGCUCAUUAGCUAAUUCUGCCAACGAGUAAAUUGCUCUAUCAAUCAACUUUUGCCUGACGAGAGCGCUGAAUCUUGCACGUGAUGCACUUUUUACUUCAGUUGGGAGUCCAUUGUAGAAGCCCAAGGCAGCUGAUGGGAAGCCUCUCUGAGUAGCAGCCAACCGACAUCGGGGAACAUCCAGGUCAGUUGCAUGGCGUGUAUUGUAGCUGUGUAUCUGAUUUCUUGUUGACAGCUGCUGCAGGUUGUCUCUGACAUACAUCAAGGAGGACAGGAUGUAUUGGCUGUGGAUGGAGCAGCACAUCAUGGCAAUAAGGCGCGUGUCCCCACAGGAGGAUUCCAUACAAGAUGUGACUAUGAAAAAGGGAGUGAUAAGCUGAGACCAGGUAAUCCCUGGAGACAAUGUGUCUCAGUUUUCUUAUAAGGAAUAUAACCCUGGAAAGUCUUUUGCAGACCUCAGCCACAUGUUGACUCCACCUCAAC